UGCAAGCUGAGCCUCUAAUGAGCCAUAAUGACUCGUUAUUGUGUGGAUACAUUAACUUCUGCAUAAGCUUUAUAAUGCAAAACAGCACACUGGGCAUGUUGUGUGCCCACUGAACAGGACUCCUGAGGGCAUGAGUGACACUCUUUUUGUGGGAGGAGAAGUGACUGAUGUCUGGGGCUACUCCAUCUCAAGAAAAUACUGGAGACGUUCACUGGAUCUCAGAGGAAAAUAGAGAUUGGAGAAGUAACUGCUGCAAUGUUAUAAUGAUUUGUCUAAUUGCUUGAAAGAAAGACAGUACUUAGCACUAAAUCUGCGGGUGGAGGUGAGCUAAAAGAAAAAUGUCUACUGUGCUUUUCGGACAAUAGAAGUGACAUGACCCUCAGUAAGAAAGGAUGCCUGUGUUCUUGAUUCAGAAAUUGCCGCCUGUGCUUCCAAAGUCCACUUCCUUACAGAAAGGGGGUGAUAACAGCAAGGCUUCUUCCCUCUGGAAACAUAUACAACUUUGCUGAAUUAAUAAAAACAUGGAGGAGGAGAACCAGCAGCAGAUGCAGAUUAUUUACCUGAAAGAAAAGCCAUCCUGAAGAGCCUUUUGUUCUGCAUGCACUCAAUACAGAGCAAUAUGAUUCUUCCGUUGUGGUGAAGAAGUCUGCACCAUUAGAUGGGAGGCUGAUGCAGUGACAGCACUCAUGGGGUCUUCCCUGUGUGUGUGGAGGAGAACCCUGGAACUGCCAACCUCUCAUUUAAGAUGUAUGAUGACCUCAGAAGGCAGGACUACAGCAACAUUCAGAGAAGCUGCAGCUCACUCUUCGCCUGUUAAUAAGCUGUUUUCCUCUGGCUUCUGCAUAUUGCUAAUUCAAUUUAGAAAGGGAAUAGCCUCCAGACACCUCUAAGAACAACCAGAGAUUCCCCCUGAACAAUUAAAGAAGUCAGAAUCAUGCUACAUCCAGAUACUGCUCGCAACUAUUUGGGGUCCUUCUGGCAGAAAAACAGGAGGGAGAAAAUACAACUUACAAGUUUUUUCAGUCUGACCUCAGUAAUGUAAAAAACUGGCAUUGUGGCUGGCAAAGGUUCAGAUAAAACUUUUUGGAUAUGCUAUAAAGUGAGUUACUGUAAUCACCUGGGUCCAUUCUGCAUUAGUUGCUGUUGACCAGACAUGAACUGUAGAUGUACCUUACAGGCCAUUGUUUGCAUGUCCUCUGUUAUGGGCUAUUAACCAUCAUGGGUUAUUAGCUAGUAAUUCUCUACAUGCAGAUGAAUAUUUAUAGUAGUUCUCGGUAGAAAUAUAUUUUAAAAGGAGUGCAGGGUUGCCUUUAUACAGGAUAUAAACAAAACAGUCUUUUGAGAUUUGAAAGACUAUUUCGUUCUGUUUAAAAAGCAAAACACAAAAAAAAAGAGAAAAAUUCUGUCCCUCGCUUGCUGCAUCUACAAAGCAGAGUAUGCUAGCAAACUGCAGCGAAGCUGUGAGUUGCAAACACAGCUGUUCAAGGAAGACUUAGUAGCCUGAGGGGAAAGAUGGCAGAAUUACUGAAGUGCCUUCACAGGGUAAAUUACAUUACAUUUAAUUUCAAGUAUUUCCAGUUAUUGAACAAAAGAAGAAAAAUGUGGCCUGUCCUGGGCUUCCAGAGUUAGUUGCAUGUGCACCUAUAAACAUAGAUGUCUGUCUGUGGAUUAUUUGUAGCCUGGGAGACAUGCCCUGGUGUGCUGGAGCUGAAUCUGCUCCCAUUUCCCACUGUGUCCCUCUGUGCCCAGGUGCUCAGAGGGAACAUGGUGCUCUGUCUACUGUGAAUUCCUGUGCCCAUUCAUGUAGCACUAAUCUUGCUGCUUAGAUAAUCCCAGACGCUACCCCAGCAAGGACAGACAGAUUAGAUGUAAUUACUGCUGUCAAAUCAAAUUAUGACUUAUUUAUUAAAUGUAAGAUUUCUUCAAGGCUAGUGGUGCUAAGCAUGUUAUGUAUGUUCUUAGAAAGGUCCCUAAUAAGGAAGCGCUAAGCCUGUGUGAAAAAACGAUGGGAAGAUGCAAAUAGAAACUGUACAGAAAAAAUAAUUUACAUCAAUGCUUUCACGAUAAAUGUGCAAAUUACAAAUGAACUGGGUUUUCCUGCAUUGUACCCAGACAUCCAUCUAAGACAGGACCUUCAAAAUAGCAUCAUUUUUUCCAAAAUGUUUGCUCGUCAGUCAGUCAGUCUGGCCACCAGCUGGAUAAAGAUAAGCCAAUUAAACACUCUUUGGAUCAUGCCUGGUAUACAAAAAUAGCCAUACCUCACUAGUCAGGUCAAAAGUACUUCUGGUCCACUUCCCUGUCUCUGGCAAUAGCCAGGAGCAUGUGCCUAGGGAAGGGGUACCCCUCAGUCACCCUCUCUGCUUCCAGCAGCCCGUCGCCACUCAAUCAAAUAACAAGUUCAAUACACAGGUUUAACGGGCUUUUCCUCCAUGAAAUUGUCUAAUUGCUUUUUGAACUCUUAUUUACUUUUAAGCUCCAUACCAUUACCUUGUGGUAAUCAGUUCCACAGCAUAAUUACAUAAACGUUCUUUUUUCUUUUUAAAAAAGAAAUCUGAGUGAUCCUUUCUCAAAUUAUUUUGCAGGACUAUUUCAAAGAAUUUCCAAAAGGCUGUUUUGAGGUCAAAGGAAAAUAAGACUUUUUGGUUCAGUGACCUGUGAUUUUUAUGGCCACUGUUAAGAUCAUUGCCUGUCACCGUAGCAAAGGGAUCAGAUAAAAAUUUUAAAUGGCACUGUCUUCCUUUGUCCUUAAAGUCCAAGCAUCUUAUUCCUGUUGAUUGCAGAAACUGACGGUGCUAAUAUAAAACACUGAGAGAGGCUUAGUGAAAAUUUUGCUAUGGGGAAAAAGCUGGGGUCAGAGUUUAGUCCCUUGAAGCUUCUCCAUAAAAUAGCUGUCGAUUUCUCUGUCCUGAUAUCGUUGUCCUCAUUGUCUGUGAUUUUUAUGUCUCAAAUGCUUCAUUACAUUUUUCCCCAAUAUUUCAUAGCACCACACAUAGAAAACUUGAAAUUUCCUAGAUUCAGUUUAUCAGAGCCUUUAUUUUAUAACCCGUGUUAGUAGCCUUGAGUCACUUCCAUUAGAUAGGAAGGUCUAAGUGCAGGUGCCAUCUGGUACGGUGCUGAGAGGCUCCAGGUGACCUGGCUUUUUUCCCCAGUCAUGUUCAGAGGAAACUAAGCACGUGGUAUAUAUUUGAUACAGGUACUACUCAGGCAUUAGGUUUCUGUGUACUACUGUUGAUGCUGGAUUUAAGUCUUUGGAAUUAAAUUCAGCUGCUUCUUUCCAGGCCUCACAUUUCUUUUAUGGCAGAAUUUUUUUUUUUUCAUCCUUUCUUGAAGUGUCUUACAUUGUCAAAGUCCUGUUGGUGUCUCUGCUAUGUGUUUCUUUUCCUCUUCUAGCUGCUUUCCCUGCCCUUUAUAUUACAUUGUGUGCAGACAUACAAUGCCAGUUCUUCACUGCUUCUGCAUUCUCCCUCAUUCUGCCUCCGGACUUCGCUUGUAGGGUCAUGUGAAGAAAUAUAAUCCCCGACUAACCUGGAUGUGCAAAAUUGUGCUUUAAGUAGAGAAGUAUCUUUUCGUCAGAGUGAAAGCAAGGAUAGUAUUAAGGAAUGGGGCCUACAAGAACUCCUUUAAAAGCAAUCUCUUCUCCUACUUGUACUUAACUCCACCUUCCAUGUUUCCAUUUUAUUCUGGGCUAUUGCACUGAUGCUUCAAGUCUUCGGGGUGUUCUCUCAAUUCUUUUUUUAAUUAUGACCUUUGCUGAUAAACGUUGUGUUUGUUCAUAUGCUUAUUUUGUCAAAUGCUGCAGUGUAAAAAUUUAAGUUUUUUUCAAAUUCCUCAAAUACUUGAUUUAGAACAGCUUGAUGAUUAUCUUGAAAGGUUACUUAAAUGAAAUGCGGAUUUCCCUGGCAUUUUAACUUUGUCUUCUUUAAGGACAAUCACAACAGAGUUAUAUUCUUCCAUGCCAUAUGAAAGAAAUAUGUGUGUUUUCAAGGACGGAGAUGGCUCAGUCUUUGAUGCUCACGUUUAUGCUGUCACAUUUUUUCAG